GACGUAGGGCGCGAGCGUUGUCCGGAAUUAUUGGGCGUAAAGAGCUCGUAGGCGGCUUGUUGCGUCGUCCGUGAAAUCCCGUGGCUCAACUGCGGGCUUGCGGACGAUACGGGCAGGCUAGAGUUCGGUAGGGGAGACUGGAAUUCCUGGUGUAGCGGUGAAAUGCGCAGAUAUCAGGAGGAACACCCGUGGCGAAAGCGGCUCUCUGGAACGGUACUGACGCUGAGACGCGAAAGCGUGGGGAGCGAACAGG
rnacentral:rRNA from 1 species